GAGUUUGAUCAUGGCUCAGGACGAACGCUGGCGGCGUGCCUAACACAUGCAAGUCGAGCGGGACCGAUGGGGUGCUUGCACAUUAUCGGUUCAGCGGCGGACGGGUGAGUAACGCGUGAGUAACCUGGCCUAUACAGGGGGAUAACAACGAGAAAUCGUUGCUAAUACCGCAUAAGACCACAGCAUCGCAUGGUGCGGGGGUCAAAGAAUUUCGGUAAAGGAUGGACUCGCGUCCCAUUAGCUAGUUGGUGAGAUAACAGCUCACCAAGGCGACGAUGGGUAGCCGACCUGAGAGGGUGAUCGGCCACACUGGGACUGAGACACGGCCCAGACUCCUACGGGAGGCAGCAGUGGGGAAUAUUGGGCAAUGGGCGCAAGCCUGACCCAGCAACGCCGCGUGAAGGAAGAAGGUCUUCGGAUUGUAAACUUUUGUCGUCAGGGACGAAAUAAGACGGUACCUGGCAAGAAAGCCCCGGCUAACUACGUGCCAGCAGCCGCGGUAAA
rnacentral:rRNA from 1 species